UACGAAGGGGGCUAGCGUUGUCCGGAAUUACUGGGCGUAAAGAGCUCGUAGGCGGUUUGUCGCGUCGUUCGUGAAAACUCACAGCUUAACUGUGAGCUUGCGGUCGAUACGGGCAGGCUAGAGUUCGGUAGGGGAGACUGGAAUUCCUGGUGUAGCGGUGAAAUGCGCAGAUAUCAGGAGGAACACCGGUGGCGAAGGCGGGUCUCUGGGCAGUAACUGACGCUGAGGAGCGAAGGCGUGGGGAGCGAACAGG
rnacentral:rRNA from 1 species